AUGCUCCAGCGGCCCAGGAUUCAUCUGUCGACGCAUAUAUCAUAUCCAUCCAUACAUCGGGGCUCUGUCCUGUCCUACGUCUACGUGCGCGCGUGCUUGAUCGAGGUGCUUGAUCCACCGAUCGCUGCCCAGCACAGGGUUGGCUGGCGGGAGGGGGCAACCGACCGAUCGAUCGUUCCAUCUGCAAUGACGACGGCGCGGCAGUGGUGGAGGCGCGCCGCCGCGGCGGCCAAGGACAAGAAGAGCCUGUGCCUGACGCGCGCCGCGGGGGCGCUGCGCUCGCCGGCCAGGGUCAGGGGCGGCGCCGCGGAGCUGGACGCGGCGGUCAUCCGCGCCACCAGCCACGACGACCGCUUCGUGGACCGCGGCGCCGCGGCGCGGGUGCUGGACCUCGCGCGCGCCUCCUCGCCGUCGCCGCUCGUGUGGGCGCUCGCGCGCCGGGCGGGGCGGACGCGCUGCUGGGCCGUGGCGCUCAAGGCGCUCAUGCUCGCGCACCGCCUGCUCCUGCUCGCGCAGCCCCGCGCCGGCGGCCGCGUGCCCUUCGACCUCGCCGACUUCCGGGACCGCUCCUCGGCCGGCCUCUCCGCCCUCGUGCGCGCCUACUUCCGCUUCCUCGACGCCCGCUCCCUCUUCGCCGCCGAGGAAGACGACGGCGCCGGCGCCAACGGCGACCAGGACGAGGAGACGCGCCUGCUGGACCGCCUGUCCAGGCGCCAGCACCUGCUCGACCUGCUCAUACAGAUCCGCCCCUACGGGGACGGCAUGGAGCGGCAGAGCCUCGUCCUCGACGCCAUGGAAUGCGCCGUCGUCGAGAUCUUCGACGUGUACGGCCAGGUGCGCGCCGGCAUCGCCGAGUACCUCGUCGCCGCCCUCGGGGGCUCGGCGCCGACCACGGCGAUGCCUCGGCCGCGGCCGGGAGAGACCGUGGCCACGGCGAGGCGGCGCAGGGCCAUGCAGGGAGUGCGGGUGCUGCGGAAGGAGGCUGAGCAGAGCGCCCUGGUGUCGUCCUACUUCGAGCUCUGCCGUGCCCUCGGCGUGCUCAGCGCCGCCGAGUUCCCGGCCCUGGAGCGCGUCCCGGACCACGACAUCAGGGACCUCGAGAAGCUCAUCAUGGCCCACGUCGAAGACGGCGGCUGCAUGGUGGAGCAGGACAACGAAGCGAAGGCGCUGGCGGUCCCCAUGGAGGACGCCGGCGUGGCGUCGACGGCGGUGGCCACGAAAGAGUGGAUGGUGUUCGACGACGAUGCGGGUACCGGCGUUAGGCAGGGGCAUUUCGGUGAUUACGUCAACCCGUUCCUAACCAACUUGACGGAGUUAGGCGACACGUGA
rnacentral:rRNA from 1 species